GAUUUAUCCUCACUAUCUUCUCCACAUAGGUAGCCCCAGGGCCUUGACAGGAGUGAAACUUCCUGGAUGCUCUGUUCCACUGAUAGCUUCUACAGUGCCUCUUUUCUUUGAGAGGACCCCACACAUCAUCCUUCCAGGUCAUCAAAAACAAGGAAAAGCCUGAGAAACUGUCAUAGCCAAGAGGAGCAUAUGAAGACAUGAUGACUAAAUCUAAUGUGGUAUCCUGGCUGGCAUCCUGGAACAGAAAAAGGACAUUAGGUAAAAACUAAGGAAAUCUGACUAAACUAUGGAC
rnacentral:lncRNA from 1 species